GAUGAACGCUGGCGGCGUGCCUAAUACAUGCGAGUCGAGCGAACAGACGAGGAGCUUUCUCCUCUGACGUUAGCGGCGGACGGGUGAGUAACACGUGGAUAACCUACCUAUAAGACUGGGAUAACUUCGGGAAACCGGAGCUAAUACCGGAUAAUAUAUUGAACCGCAUGGUUCAAUAGUGAAAGACGGUUUUGCUGUCACUUAUAGAUGGAUCCGCCCCGCAUUAGCUAGUUGGUAAGGUAACGGCUUACCAAGGCAACGAUGCGUAGCUGACCUGAGAGGGUGGUCGGCCACACUGGAACUGAGACACGGUACAGACUCCUACGGGAGGCAGCAGUAGGGAAUCUUCCGCAAUGGGCGAAAGCCUGACGGAGCAACGCAGCGUGAGUGAUGAAGGUCUUCGGCUCGUAAAACUCUGUUAUUAGGGAAGAACAAAUGUGUAAGUAACUAUGAACGUCUUGACGGUACCUAAUCAGAAAGCAACGGCUAACUACGUG
rnacentral:rRNA from 1 species